UGGUGGAGUGAUUUGUCAGCUUAAUUGCGAUAACGAACGAGACCUUAACCUGCUAAAUAGCCCGCAUUGCUUUGGCAGUGCGCAGGCUUCUUAGAGGGACUAUCGGCUCAAGCCGAUGGAAGUUUGAGGCAAUAACA
rnacentral:rRNA from 1 species